AACGGGAGCUCUUUGCUUUUCUGAAUACUCGACUGUGUUUACUGUCGCUCCCCAUCUUUUGCACUCGCCUUCCUUCUGUCUGUGGCUGUGGGUGUUGUGCUAGAAACAGCUAUUGCUACAGCCUGCUAAACAUUUUUGUUCCAUUUGCCAAUUUUCAGUCGCUCAUCACUCUUGAAAACGUUCAUUUUGGGGCAUUACAAGCCAAUGUGGGGGCUGUGAGAGGAGGCCUGUGCUGAGUGGAAGAGAUCUGCUGGGUAGGAUGGAGCAGGUGUGGCCCUCGUCCCUGACAAUGCUGCACCACCCCAGAGGCUGGAAGCCAAAAGCAUCACAGUGAAGAGAAGAUGGGCUGGGAGGACGAAUGAGGAAAACCAGUUACCAGUUAGCAGUGGAAGGAUUUUAUGGAGAGCAUUAGGAGCAAGUGCAGGGCACAGCUUUCCCCUUAGUCUCAGUAUCCCCAGCUCAGGAGGGAAACACUCCCUGCCUGUGGAUGAAGAGCAGCUGAAUGAGGAACCUUUCUCCGGGCCUUCUCUCUAAAUAAAUGAGAUGUGCAUCCUCGGUGUGGUCAGCUGGGAGGGAGAAGCCUAUCUCAGGAGUGAUGGCAGGUGCUGCUGAGCUAUUUCCAUUUUCCAGCUCUGCAACCUCAGGAACCUCUUUAAUCCAAAGCCCCAUUCGCUGGCACUGAAGACCAGACUGUUUUUGGAUUCAUUUUUAAGGCUGCCUUUAAUUUUUUGAAGUAUCUUGCUGGCAGAUUUCUGCUCCCACCUGGGAUUCAAGAAGAGAUUUGCACAUCUCGUGCUCACUUUUUAAGUCAUUUAAAGGAACACGGCAAGAAUGUAAGCCCUGCUUUUAAUGGGGGGAACAUGGGGGUAAAGGGAUAUGAAAAGAAAAGCAGGAGGUACAAAGAUGUUUUGGCAGAUUUGUUACAGGUGAAAACAUUCCUUAUUUGAUUUCAGUGGAAUCCAGGGAAACUCACAAGCAUUGAAGUCAUGUAUGAGAGUCAGAGGCUGAAUUUGAGAAGUUCCUGGGGUAAAAACAUAAACCCAGCAGAGAAAAGAGUAUCGUUGCUCAGGGGUGUGAUUUUGAUUACUCUUGUUUUAGGCAUUAGUAGCAGGAAUAGAGCUAGGAAAACUACAGAUCCACAUCAGCCUGUUUUUAGUUAGGGCUGAUGUUCCACAGCAUUGAGUGUUAAUGACAUGUGUUAAAAACAGACCACUUUUAUGUGAAGUUGUCCUGCUUUGCUAGCACAUAUGUGAGCACGCACAGACAGACACACCUAUACAGGUACUGUUCCAAGUGCUUUCUGAUGUCCAGCUUGCUGAAAUGCUUUCAAUUUGGUCUUGGAAAAGGUUGACUCAGUCAGCGUAUGCGAUAAUUGCCAGAGAUGAAAUUAGUUUUAGUCUCUGCUGUUCUCCUUCCAAAAAAGCAAAACCCAGCUCUCCCUUUCUGCCUUCCCCUCUUCUAGGCAGUGAGUAUUGUCAUAUAGGUGCUCAGCUGAUUUUUAAUGUCAUGGAAGCUUCAUCUGCGAAUUCGUUAGAAACUCUUCAGUGAAGCAGCCUAGUAAAACAGAUGAUUAAUAUUGGUAAGCUCCUCAUUUACAUAUUAAUUAGUCUCUGUACUCAACUAAUUAAAAUGGGGCUGCCUGUUUGUAGGCUUUCUGAAUUCCAGAUUGUUGCUACUGCUCCCGUGUAGGUGCAUUUAGCAGAGAGAAGGCAGGCCGUUGAUGCCACCAACCAGCCAUCCUAGGCAGCAACAGCAACAUUUUAAGGCACUGGAGGCUCCUGAAAUGGCAGGCUGUAGUGACUAAGCAGUGAUCCUGCUUCCCAGUGACUCUGAAGGAGCAGGAGCACUGCUGUAGCUGCCCAAAUCCAGAAGAAGCAGAGCAUUGCAGGACACAGACAAGUUCAAGGCAAACUGUCCUCAGGCCUUGUGACACUCAGAUUCUUCCAGAGAUGCUGCCUAUAGCCAGGGCUAGGCCUGACUGUCCAA